CAUUUUAUUACACAGGUCUGAAGGUCACUGCAGCCAUUUUAUUACACACCCUAUUACACAGGUCUGAAGGUCACUGCAGCCAUUUUAUUACACACCCUAUUACACAGGCCUGAAGGUCACUGCAGCCAUUUUAUUACACACCCUAUUACACAGGUCUGAAGGUCACUGCAGCCAUUUUAUUACACAGGUCUGAAGGUCACUGCAGCCAUUUUGCUCCUCCCCUACCUCUUCAAAGAAGAUCCAGGUGGGCUGUACGU